rnacentral:rRNA from 1 species
GACGAACGCUGGCGGCGUGCUUAACACAUGCAAGUCGAACGGUAAGGCCCUUCGGGGUACACGAGUGGCGAACGGGUGAGUAACACGUGGGCGAUCUGCCCUGCACUUCGGGAUAAGCCUGGGAAACUGGGUCUAAUACCGGAUAGGACCACUGCCUGCAUGGGCGGUGGUGGAAAGCUUUUGCGGUGUGGGAUGGGCCCGCGGCCUAUCAGCUUGUUGGUGGGGUGAUGGCCUACCAAGGCGACGACGGGUAGCCGGCCUGAGAGGGUGACCGGCCACACUGGGACUGAGAUACGGCCCAGACUCCUACGGGAGGCAGCAGUGGGGAAUAUUGCACAAUGGGCGCGAGCCUGAUGCAGCGACGCCGCGUGAGGGAUGACGGCCUUCGGGUUGUAAACCUCUUUCAGCACCGACGAAGCGCAAGUGACGGUAGGUGCAGAAGAAGGACCGGCCAACUACGUGCCAGCAGCCGCGGUAAUAC